AGUUGAGAGGGAAAAUGAGAGGGGGGAUGAGAGGAAUGAGUAAUAAAAGUGCAAACAAAAUUAAAAACUGAAAUUUAUUUGAAAUUGUUUUCACUUUCAAGUUUUUGUUUUCACUUUUGUUGCUCCUCCCUCUCAUCAUCCCCUCUAAUCCUCUCUCUUAAUCU
rnacentral:miRNA from 1 species